GGUUAGCACCUUCAUCCUCGGACCGUCGGGCACGUACCUGCCCGGAGAAGGAGAAUUAC
rnacentral:ncRNA from 1 species